UACGAAGGGGGCUAGCGUUGCUCGGAUUGACUGGGCGUAAAGGGCGCGUAGGCGGUUCGUACAGUCAGACGUGAAAUUCCUGGGCUCAACCUGGGGGCUGCGUUUGAUACGUGCGGGCUUGAGUUCGGAAGAGGGUCGUGGAAUUCCCAGUGUAGAGGUGAAAUUCGUAGAUAUUGGGAAGAACACCGGGUGGCGAAGGCGGCGACCUGGUCCGAUACUGACGCUGAGGCGCGAAAGCGUGGGGAGCAAACAGG
rnacentral:rRNA from 1 species